GCAGUCGAGCGNCNGACGAGGAGCUUGCUCCUCUGACGUUAGCGGCGGACGGGUGAGUAACACGUGGAUAACCUACCUAUAAGACUGGGAUAACUUCGGGAAACCGGAGCUAAUACCGGAUAAUAUAUUGAACCGCAUGGUUCAAUAGUGAAAGACGGUUUUGCUGUCACUUAUAGAUGGAUCCGCGCCGCAUUAGCUAGUUGGUAAGGUAACGGCUUACCAAGGCAACGAUGCGUAGCCGACCUGAGAGGGUGAUCGGCCACACUGGAACUGAGACACGGUCCAGACUCCUACGGGAGGCAGCAGUAGGGAAUCUUCCGCAAUGGGCGAAAGCCUGACGGAGCAACGCCGCGUGAGUGAUGAAGGUCUUCGGAUCGUAAAACUCUGUUAUUAGGGAAGAACAAAUGUGUAAGUAACUAUGCACGUCUUGACGGUACCUAAUCAGAAAGCCACGGCUAACUACGUGCCAGCAGCCGCGGUAAUACGUAGGUGGCAAGCGUUAUCCGGAAUUAUUGGGCGUAAAGCGCGCGUAGGCGGUUUUUUAAGUCUGAUGUGAAAGCCCACGGCUCAACCGUGGAGGGUCAUUGGAAACUGGAAAACUUGAGUGCAGAAGAGGAAAGUGGAAUUCCAUGUGUAGCGGUGAAAUGCGCAGAGAUAUGGAGGAACACCAGUGGCGAAGGCGACUUUCUGGUCUGUAACUGACGCUGAUGUGCGAAAGCGUGGGGAUCAAACAGGAUUAGAUACCCUGGUAGUCCACGCCGUANACGAUGAGUGCUAAGUGUUAGGGGGUUUCCGCCCCUUAGUGCUGCAGCUAACGCAUUAAGCACUCCGCCUGGGGAGUACGACCGCAAGGUUGAAACUCANAGGAAUUGACGGGGACCCGCACAAGCGGUGGAGCAUGUGGUUUAAUUCGAAGCAACGCGAAGAACCUUACCAAAUCUUGACAUCCUCUGACCCCUCUAGAGAUAGAGUUUUCCCCUUCGGGGGACAGAGUGACAGGUGGUGCAUG
rnacentral:rRNA from 1 species